rnacentral:rRNA from 1 species
GAUUAAGUUAUUAAGGGCGCACGGUGGAUGCCUUGGCACUAGAAGCCGACGAAGGACGUUACUAACGACGAUAUGCUUUGGGGAGCUGUAAGUAAGCUUUGAUCCAGAGAUUUCCGAAUGGGGAAACCCAGCACGAGUUAUGUCGUGUUAUCUGCAUGUGAAUACAUAGCAUGCAAGAAGGCAGACCCGGAGAACUGAAACAUCUUAGUACCCGGAGGAAGAGAAAGAAAAAUCGAUUCCCUGAGUAGCGGCGAGCGAAACGGGAAGAGCCCAAACCAAUAAGCUUGCUUAUUGGGGUUGUAGGACACUCUGCACGGAGUUACAAAAGAAUUUGUUAGACGAAUAACCUGGAAAGGUUAAUCAUAGAAGGUAAUAAUCCUGUAGUCGAAAACGAAUUCUCUCUUGAGUGGAUCCUGAGUACGACGGAGCACGUGAAAUUCCGUCGGAAUCUGGGAGGACCAUCUCCUAAGGCUAAAUACUCUCUAGUGACCGAUAGUGAACCACGUAAGCCGAUCGAGGGAAAGGGUACGGAAAGGWAGGGGAGAAAUUCCAAUCGAACUCGGAGAUAGCWGGUUCUCUCUCAAGUANNGCUUAGGCUAGCUNAGUGAUGAUAUUGGAGGUAGAGCACUGUUUGGACGAGGGCCCUCUCGGGUUACCGAAUUCAGACAAACUCCGAAUGCCAAAUAAUUUAACUUGGGAGUCAGAAUGUGGGUGAUAAGGUCCAUAUUCGAAAGGGAAACAGCCCAGACCACCAGCUAAGGUCCCAAAAUAUAUGUUAAGUGGAAAAGGAUGUGGCGUUGCCCAGACAACUAGGAUGUUGGCUUAGAAGCAGCCAUCAUUUAAAGAGUGCGUAAUAGCUCACUAGUCGAGUGACACUGCGCCGAAAAUGUACCGGGGCUAAACAUAUUACCGAAGCUGUGGAUUGUCCUUUGGACAAUGGUAGGAGAGCGUUCUAAGGGCGUUGAAGCAUGAUCGCAAGGACAUGUGGAGCGCUUAGAAGUGAGAAUGCCGGUGUGAGUAGCGAAAGACGGGUGAGAAUCCCGUCCACCGAUUGACUAAGGUUUCCAGAGGAAGGCUCGUCCGCUCUGGGUUAGUCGGGUCCUAAGCUGAGGCCGACAGGCGUAGGCGAUGGAUAACAGGUUGAUAUUCCUGUACCACCAUUAUUCGUUUUAAGCGAUGGGGGGACGCAGUAGGAUAGGCGAAGCGUGCUGUUGGAGUGCACGUCCAAGCAGUGAGAUUGAGUGUUAGGCAAAUCCGGCACUCUUAAGAUUGAGCUGUGAUGGGGAGAGGAACUUGUUCCUCGAGUCGUUGAUUUCACACUGCCGAGAAAAGCCUCUAGCUAGAAUAACGGUGCCCGUACCGCAAACCGACACAGGUAGUCAAGAUGAGAAUUCUAAGGUGAGCGAGCGAACUCUCGUUAAGGAACUCGGCAAAAUGACCCCGUAACUUCGGGAGAAGGGGUGCUCUUUGAGGUUCACGCUUCGAAGAGCCGCAGUGAAUAGGCCCAAGCGACUGUUUAUCAAAAACACAGGUCUCUGCUAAACCGUAAGGUGACGUAUAGGGCUGACGCCUGCCCGGUGCUGGAAGGUUAAGAGGAGUGGUUAGCGCAAGCGAAGCUACGAAUCGAAGCCCCAGUAAACGGCGGCCGUAACUAUAACGGUCCUAAGGUAGCGAAAUUCCUUGUCGGGUAAGUUCCGACCCGCACGAAAGGCGUAACGAUUUGGCACUGUCUCAACGAGAGACUCGGUGAAAUCAUAGUACCGGUGAAGAUGCCGGUUACCCGCGACAGGACGGAAAGACCCCGUGGAGCUUUACUGUAGCCUGAUAUUGAAAUUCGGUACAGUUUGUACAGGAUAGGUAGGAGCCUUAGAAGCGUGAGCGCUAGCUUACGUGGAGGCAUUGGUGGGAUACUACCCUAAUUGUAUUGGAUUUCUAACCCGCAGCACUUAUCGUGCUGGGAGACAGUGUCAGGCGGGCAGUUUGACUGGGGCGGUCGCCUCCUAAAGAGUAACGGAGGCGCUCAAAGGUUCCCUCAGAAUGGUUGGAAAUCAUUCAUAGAGUGUAAAGGCAUAAGGGAGCUUGACUGCGAGACCUACAAGUCGAGCAGGGUCGAAAGACGGACUUAGUGAUCCGGUGGUUCCGCAUGGAAGGGCCAUCGCUCAACGGAUAAAAGCUACCCCGGGGAUAACAGGCUUAUCUCCCCCAAGAGUUCACAUCGACGGAGGUUUGGCACCUCGAUGUCGGCUCAUCGCAUCCUGGGGCUGUAGUCGGUCCCAAGGGUUGGGCUGUUCGCCCAUUAAAGCGGUACGCGAGCUGGGUUCAGAACGUCGUGAGACAGUUCGGUCCCUAUCCGUCGUGGGCGUAGGAAAUUUGAGAGGAGCUGUCCUUAGUACGAGAGGACCGGGAUGGACAUACCUCUGGUGUACCAGUUGUCGUGCCAACGGCAUAGCUGGGUAGCUAUGUAUGGACGGGAUAAGUGCUGAAAGCAUCUAAGCAUGAAGCCCCCCUCGAGAUGAGAUUUCCCAACUUCGGUUAUAAGAUCCCUCAAAGAUGAUGAGGUGAAUAGGUUCGAGGUGGAAGCGUAGCGAUACGUGGAGCUGACGAAUACUAAUCGAUCGAAGACUUAAUCAACAUAAUUGU